rnacentral:misc_RNA from 1 species
GCAAACUUGGUCAUUUAGAGGAAGUAAAAGUCGUAACAAGGUUUCCGUAGGUGAACCUGCGGAAGGAUCAUUAAAGAUUCGUCCCUCGGGACAACCUCUUCAGCUGUGCGCUUCGGCUGCACGCUGUUGAAACUCACACACCUGUGCACCAUUCGGUCGGGUUCGGUCCGCAAGGUCGAACGCUUCCGCUUUUACAUCUCACAACGCAGUCCAGAAUGUACAAAACCAUAACUAUAACAACUUUCAACAACGGAUCUCUUGGCUCUCGCAUCGAUGAAGAACGCAGC